GAAAUUUCUGAAAAUCCUCAUGCAUCACUUCUCUUUUACUGGGGUCCUAUAAAAUGCCAGGUAAGAGUGGAGGGAUUUGUGGAGCAAGUUUCUGAUGAGGAAUCUGAACGAUACUUCUCUAGUCUUCCUCUAGAUAUCCAGAUUAGGCCAAUAGUUAGCAAGCAGAGCACACUGAUUCAUGGACGAGAGAUUCUCCAUCAUCAGUACAAAGAAUUCAAGGAGAAGUACCAUGACAGAACUUCAAUAGCAAGACCCAAGCACUGGGGUGGCUACAGGCUUAUUCCAGAAUUUUUUGAGUUUUGGCAGGGAGAGGAAUCUCAAGUUCUCCUCAAAUUUCGGUACUGUGUGGAGGAGAUUGAUGGAAGAAGAGUAUGGACAAUUCAUAGAUUGGUCCCACAGUUCGCAGAAUCAGCAUCAUCAUUAUGACUUGCCAUCUCUUUGAACUUAGCAAAAAUGCACCAGUGCAUGCAUAUGAUAGGAAGCUUGCAAUUAGAUCUUUUGUUUUCCUGUUUUCCCUUCUGAUUACCUUCUUUGGAUAGGACAUUGCACUUGGGAGGUGAUAUAAUAUUUCUGAGGGUGUAUGGGAGGUAUUGCCAGAAA
rnacentral:misc_RNA from 1 species